AAGAAGUGUAGCAUUCCGUUUAGGUGAAUUACUCUGAUUAAAUAAAUGAAAUUUUUAUGUUGGGAAAAUGGGGUGUUACAUUCUU
rnacentral:pre_miRNA from 1 species